rnacentral:rRNA from 1 species
GAUGAACGCUGGCGGCGUGCCUAAUACAUGCAAGUCGAGCGAACGGACGAGAAGCUUGCUUCUCUGAUGUUAGCGGCGGACGGGUGAGUAACACGUGGAUAACCUACCUAUAAGACUGGGAUAACUUCGGGAAACCGGAGCUAAUACCGGAUAAUAUUUUGAACCGCAUGGUUCAAAAGUGAAAGACGGUCUUGCUGUCACUUAUAAAUGGAUCCGCGCUGCAUAGCUAGUUGGUAAGGUAACGGCUUACCAAGGCAACGAUGCAUAGCCGACCUGAGAGGGUGAUCGGCCACACUGGAACUGAGACACGGUCCAGACUCCUACGGGAGGCAGCAGUAGGGAAUCUUCCGCAAUGGGCGAAAGCCUGACGGAGCAACGCCGCGUGAGUGAUGAAGGUCUUCGGAUCGUAAAACUCUGUUAUUAGGGAAGAACAUAUGUGUAAGUAACUGUGCACAUCUUGACGGUACCUAAUCAGAAAGCCACGGCUAACUACGUG